rnacentral:rRNA from 1 species
AGAGUUUGAUCAUGGCUCAGGACGAACGCUGACGGUGUGCUUUAGACAUGCAAGUCGAACGAGAAAGCCCUUCGGGGUGAGUACAGUGGCGAACGGGUGAGUAACACGUGGGUAACCUGCCCCUCGCAGAGGGACAACCGGGGGAAACCCCGGCUAAUACCUCGUACGCUUGCCGGGCCGCAUGGCUAGGCAAGGAAAGGUAGCUUCGGCCAUCCGGCGAGGGAUGGGCCCGCGGUCCAUUAGCUAGUUGGUGAGGUAACGGCCCACCAAGGCGACGAUGGAUAGCUGGUCUGAGAGGACGAUCAGCCACACUGGGACUGAGACACGGCCCAGACUCCUACGGGAGGCAGCAGUCGGGAAUCUUGCGCAAUGGGCGAAAGCCUGACGCAGCAACACCGUGUGGGCGACGAAGGCCUUCGGGUCGUAAAGCCCUGUUGUUGGGGACGAAGGGCGAAGGGUUAAUAGCCCCUAGCCUGACGGUACCCUUCGAGGAAGCCCCGGCUAACUACGUGCCAGCAGCCGCGGUAAUACGUAGGGGGCGAGCGUUGUCCGGAAUUAUUGGGCGUAAAGAGCGUGUAGGCGGUUCGGUAAGUCUGCCGUGAAACCCUAGGGCUCAACCCUAGGCGUGCGGUGGAUACUGCCGGGCUAGAGGGUGGUAGAGGCGAGUGGAAUUCCCGGUGUAGCGGUGAAAUGCGCAGAUAUCGGGAGGAACACCAGUAGCGAAGGCGGCUCGCUGGGCCAUUCCUGACGCUGAGACGCGAAAGCAUGGGGAGCGAACAGGAUUAGAUACCCCCGUAGUCC